rnacentral:rRNA from 1 species
AUUGAACGCUGGCGGCAGGCCUAACACAUGCAAGUCGAACGGCAGCACAGAAGAGCUUGCUCUUUGGGUGGCGAGUGGCGGACGGGUGAGUAAUGUCUGGGAAACUGCCCGAUGGAGGGGGAUAACUACUGGAAACGGUAGCUAAUACCGCAUUACGUCGCAAGACCAAAGUGGGGGACCUUCGGGCCUCACACCAUCGGAUGUGCCCAGAUGGGAUUAGCUAGUAGGUGGGGUAAUGGCUCACCUAGGCGACGAUCCCUAGCUGGUCUGAGAGGAUGACCAGCCACACUGGAACUGAGACACGGUCCAGACUCCUACGGGAGGCAGCAGUGGGGAAUAUUGCACAAUGGGUGCAAGCCUGAUGCAGCCAUGCCGCGUGUAUGAAGAAGGCCUUCGGGUUGUAAAGUACUUUCAGCGGGGAGGAAGGCGGUGAGGUUAAUAACCUCGCCGAUUGACGUUACCCGCAGAAGAAGCACCGGCUAACUCCGUGCCAGCCGCCGCGGUAA